CUGUCACUUCAUGGAGUUCGCGCUCGAUCCGUGUUGGCCUGGGCUUCUUCGGUGCAACUUCGCUGUGUAUUCAAGGUCUUUUUAAAUGGACAGCUUUGUUGCUGAUAAGCUAACUGAGUGGUGGCUGUUUAAGCUGACAGAGACAUUUUUGAGGCCGUCUACAGUGUUGGGAAGAAGACAAUCCGGCACUCCACUGAAGAGUCCUGGACAGCGUUCAUACACCAAAUGUCUGUAAGUACAAUGGACCAGUUUCUCAGCACCACUCUGAGAGAGAAUAUUCUUAAUUCUAUAACUAUACUGUACAUGUGAAAGAAGGCAAUCCAUGGGACAUGUUUCAUGUGAAAGCAAAAGGGUGAAUCCUGGUUUAAAAAAAAACCUUCAUGCUCCUUGCAGUUGUAUUUCAGUUUUGGGCGAUGCCAUCUAAGGUAGCAAUCUGACUAGAAAGUGAAGUUAAAGAUGUUAAGUUUUAUUACUCAUUUUCUUGGUCACAUUCAUGACCCACUCAAAAUAAACACAACAUUUGGCUUCCUUGUACAGUUAGUAUCAGCAUUAUAACACAAACUGGUAGUCUAUUAUCUUGCUUACAAUUCACUUUCUACACAAUAUUCACUUUCUAUCUCUCUGUCUCUGU